AUUAGAUACCCUGGGUAGUCCACGCCGUAAACGAUGAUCACCAGGUGUCGGUGGGUAUGGACCCACCGGUGCCGCAGCAAACGCAGUAAGUGAUCCACCUGGGGAGUACGUUCGCAAGAAUGAAACUCAAAGGAAUUGACGGGGACCCGCACAAGCGGUGGAGCAUGUGGUUUAAUCCGAAGCAACGCGAAGAACCUUACCAAGUCUUGACAUCUGGAUGACAGGGACUUAACCGUCCCCUUACUUCGGUACAUCCAAGACAGGUGGUGCAUGGUUGUCGUCAGCUCGUGUCGUGAGAUGUUGGGUUAAGUCCCGCAACGAGCGCAACCCUUAUCUUCAGUAGCCAGCGAGUAAGGUCGGGCACUCUGGAGAGACUGCCGGGGAUAACCCGGAGGAAGGUGGGGAUGACGUCAAAUCAUCAUGCCCCUUAUGAUUUGGGCUACACACGUGCUACAAUGGCGUAAACAGAGGGAAGCGAGCCCGCGAGGGGGAGCAAAUCCCAAAAAUAACGUCCCAGUUCGGAUCGUAGUCUGCAACCCGACUACAUGAAGCUGGAAUCGCUAGUAAUCGCGGAUCAGAAUGCCGCGGUGAAUACGUUCCCGGGUCUUGUACACACCGCCCGUCACACCAUGGGAGUCGGAAAUGCCCGAAGUCUGUGACCCAACCCCUGGUGAGCAUGACCGUAUAGAGAGAUAACAGAGCUUACGAAGGAAGGUCUGUUAUACU
rnacentral:rRNA from 1 species